UACGUAGGGGGCUAGCGUUGUCCGGAAUCAUUGGGCGUAAAGAGCGUGUAGGCGGUCCGGUAAGUCCGCUGUGAAAGUCGGGGGCUCAACCCUCGAAUGCCGGUGGAUACUGUCGGGCUAGAGUACGGAAGAGGCGAGUGGAAUUCCUGGUGUAGCGGUGAAAUGCGCAGAUAUCAGGAGGAACACCUAUUGCGAAGGCAGCUCGCUGGGACGUUACUGACGCUGAGACGCGAAAGCGUGGGGAGCAAACAGG
rnacentral:rRNA from 1 species